rnacentral:rRNA from 1 species
AGUGAACGCUGGCGGCGUGCCUAAUACAUGCAAGUCGAACGGAGAUUAAGUAGCUUGCUAUUUAAUCUUAGUGGCGCACGGGUGAGUAAUAUAUAGCUAACUUGCCCAUUACUAAGGGACAACAGUUGGAAACGACGGCUAAUACCUUAUACUCCGUAUCUAUACAAGUGGGUACGGGAAAGUUUUUCGGUAAUGGAUAGGGCUAUAUCGUAUCAGCUAGUUGGUAAGGUAAUGGCUUACCAAGGCUAUGACGCGUAACUGGUCUGAGAGGAUGAUCAGUCACACUGGAACUGAGACACGGUCCGACCCCUUCGGGGGGCUGGUGUGGGGAUUAGUGUUCAUUGGGUGAAACCCUGAUGCUCACUCUGGCGGAGGAUUAUUUUAGGGUAGUGACUCCUGUUCUUGGGAUGGAAUAUGACGUUCGAGGAUGUUCGUUGGAACUCUUGCCGUCUCCGUGUUGUUUUAGGUUUGAGCGUGAUUGUUAUAUUGGGUGGUUGUGAUGGGGGGUAUUUUAGGUGUUGCGUUAUUCGUCUGGUGUCGGUAUGUGAUAAAUGAUGUUGUGUUGGUUUGUUUGCGUUGGUGUUAGUGUGGUGUGUCUUUUGGGGUUGUGUUGGUGUGAUGUGUGGAUAUGUUGUUGUGUGUGUGUGCUUGUUUGUGAGAUGAUGACGUGUGAUGUAUGAUAUGGUGGUGUAAUGGUGUGUUGUGUUGUUUUGCUUUGGAGUUGAGUGUGUGUGUUGCUGUGUGUGGGGGUUUGUGUGAGAAAAAAAAAAAAAAAAUGUGAGUGAGAUUGGUGAAAAUAUUAAAUGUAUAUGGUGUGUCUGUUGUGAGUGACUGAUGGGCGUGUGUGUGGGUUGUGGUGGCUUGUUGUUGUGUGUGAUGA